UUUUGACAGCCAAACAACCAACGCCUAAGGUCUCAAUAACGAUCAAAAAACAAUACUGGAAGUAAGUAUUACUGAUCAAUUCUCUCAUUAUCUUGGCUAAUAAAAUUGUCUCUGUCCAAGCUAACAAAUGGCUAACGGAGAUGAAGAGGCCUAACUGUUCCUUUUCUGGAAACAAUCAAAUAUUGCAUAACAAGAAAGGAACUCCUACUAAGAAUGUGAUACUUGUUGACAUUUACCAAGAUGGACCCCGACUUCAAAGGGAAGUUUGCUGUAGUCCAGUGACAAAGGAUUUAGAUUCAUUCAUUUUUUAGAAAUGAAGUUAAUGUAAUACCAUUACAUGUGCAAUAUGCCUCCAUGAGAAGUAGUAACUCCAUCUACAAAUCAUCC
rnacentral:lncRNA from 1 species